rnacentral:lncRNA from 1 species
UAUGGAAAUGUUUAAUGAGCAAAGGAUUUGAAAGAAACUUAUGCCUCUUAUGCGAAGUUGUGUUUUGUUGUUGAUAUUAUGUUAUAUGCUUGGCACUGCCCACUGAGUACUCUUGUACUCAGCCCUUCGUAUGUUUAUGUUUGUGCAGGUUGAGUUGUGAUGGGCGAUGAAGUGUUGCUGAGUGGAGUUUUUGUUGAACUUAAAGUAGGCUCAGAAAGGAUACAUGUCUUCAUACAUGUAUCUCAGUUAUGCAUUCCGCUGUAAACACUGAUUAUUUCAGUUACGCCUUCCGUUGCAAACUCUGAUAAUGUUUUAGCCAAGCCCCUAACGAUGCCUUUUUCCUUUUUAAGGAAUAUUUCACGUGUAUUCAAGCUCUUUGAGUAUUCUUUUUAUGCGCCCCUUUCUAAAACCCGCUUCGUAAUUUCCCUUCCCCAGUCAUGGUUUCCCGGCUUAAUUAUCCUUAAUUAAGGCCGGUCGUGACAUUCUUCUUCCUUUUUUUUUUGUUUGUUGUUGUUGCGUGCAAUUAGCUAAUCCUGAAUAACAAAUUAGCAAGCUAUAGGAGUGAAAUUAAUUGCGCCUACGUUUGUUUCAAUUAACAUUUUGGUAACAAAAAGUAGAGAAGCCGAAAACUUUUUCUUCUUUUGUUCUAAAUUAAGGCCUAAAAAUGGCAAGUGUUAGUGAUCAAAAUUGGGAGAUUAGUUAGGGUUGAAGCAGCCGAUUUGCAUGUCUCCUUUGAGAAUAAUCCAAAAGUAAUUGAGAUGCAACAAGUAACAAGCACUCACGCCAUUCUCCUGAAAACAAAACAGAAAAAAUGAACUUAAUGUAGACGUUCCAUGCACCCUAUAAAAACAGCCGCAGUUGGUAAGAAAUUAAUUAGCUAGAAAAUUAAGAAAAUGAUGAAGAUGAAGAUGAUGAUGACGAUGAUGAUGGCGCUAGUGAUAAUAUUACUGAUGCGAGGUGCGGAGGCGCAGCAGUCUCCGACAGGUCAGUGCAUUAUAAAGUGCUCGCAGACGGCGAUAACGUGCGCCGUGGGUUGCGGCAUCGGAGCCGCCACUGCUUGUUACCAAGGCUGUAGCUCUCAGGAUAUCGUCUGCGUCUUCGCUUGCUUCGUCACCCCACCUAAACCCGACCAAUGUCUUCAUGGAUGAUUUUCUCUUCUCUAUUUUACAAUUAUUAAUUAAUUCUGCUGCUUUUUUAUUUAUGAUCAAAUAUUGAAUCCCACCACCACUCCAUCGGGAGACUAUGUUAUGUUUCAUCAACUCCACCGCUACCUUAAUAAAUAAUUAUCAUCUCUUUUUAAAUAUAUACUAUACGUUUAUUUCAUUUUUUUUUCCAUUAAUUUGUUUGACAGUGUUUUAGUUUGAAAUAUAUCCGGCUGAGUUUGAUGAUAAAAUUCAGAAGCAAAUUGAUCAAAGAUAGAAAUUUCGGGUAAUCAAUUUUUAGAUUUCGGACGAUUUUUCAUUCAAGUAAAUGAGACUGUGCGGUUGUUUCCAGAAAACGUACUCAAGUUUAAUUUGUGCUGGACAUUUUGGGACCCUUGUUUUGAUUUGAAAAUUUUACUUUUCUCUAAAGAGAGAAUCGAUGGCUUUCUGUUUUGCAAAAAUUAAUUUUCUUUUUUUUGUGGCACUAAAGAACGUACAUUGUACAUGUAAUUAAUGUUAUUUUAAUUGAUAAUUUAUUAUUUAAAAAAAUCUAUUAAUUUAUAUUCCCUCCGUCCCAUAAAGCAAGACCAAGUUCUUUUUGACACGGGAAUUAAGAAAUUGAUAUUUUUUGUGUUAAGUGUGAUAGGUGAAAAAGUGAAAAGAUGAAUAAAGAGUAAUUUUUUUGCUACUUUUAGAAACUGGUCUUGUUUCAUGUGACAGACAAAAAAGGAAACUUGGUCUUGCUUCAUGGGACGGAGGGAGUAUUAGUUUUAUUAAAUAAUUUAUUGAAUGAAUAUAUUUAUUUAUAAGCCUUAUCAAUAGCUAUAGAUAUAAAGUAUUUUUUAUAGAUUUGGGUGACAAAUAAAUGUAUAUCAAAAUAGAUUUAUAUUUUAUAAAUAUAAUAAUAAAUAUAUAACAGGGGUAAAAUAGACAAUCCACAAUUUGUGUCUUAGACUGCCUUAGGCUCUUUUUCUAUGUUGAAAAAGUGUAUUAUCUAUGUUCCACAAGGGUGUGCAUUUUUGUCAUUUUAAUACGUCUUACAAGAGUGUGGAUUUUCCCUUUUUUUGAACCCUUAUGUCAAUAAUAAAGGUAAGCCUCUUCUUCUACUAAUAACACACGCACCUAAUAUUUAUUAAAACUCGUAUCACCAAUAAUCAUGCAUACUCUUAUAAGACGGAGGGAGUAUUUCUUAAAAAAGAAAGUGUAGCUAGAAAGAGAAGCAAUAAAUUAUGUCAACAAUCUAAAUGAUGACCUAUUAACAAGGUACCUUGGUUUAAGCCGCAUAAAAACCUCAAUGGUGAAAAUUUACUGGAAAACACUGGUAAAGAAAAAAGAGUACAUAUAUAAACGAUAAUAUAAAUAAUUUGAUUAACAUAUGUCUUUCAAAAUUGAUAUGGGUGCUCGUGGGACCCUCCAAAUAUGUUUAANGAAAAAAGAAGUACAUAUAUAAACGAUAAUAUAAUAUAAUUUGAUUUAACUUAUAUUUUAUAUUUUAAUAAUUAUUUAAGUAGUAGUAUCUAUUAGAGCUCUUCAUAUUAUUAAAUUGAGAUUUAUUAAAAAGUGAAAAGAAAAAACAUCCCUUGAAAGCACAAAGAUGCAGACUAAGGGCACAAAACUUAAAAAGCGAAGGAGAACAACUCAAAAAGGAAACUCAGGAUAAUUAUCCAUAUCAUCCGACCAACGCCUAUGGACGACAUUAUUCAUUGCAAUCAUACUAGGCCUAUUGGUGACGUCAACCACAAACUCCCUCGGCUUGUGACCCAUUUCUUCCGCAUUCCUGAGACGACUUUUAAUACAACCUUCCGGAAUUGCAUGUACAGGCUCUCGUCCCUUUACCGAGCCCUUUGGACGACCACGUCCGCGCUUCUGCUCCGAGAGCAACUGCAUCCCCUGAUUAACUUGCUCCUCUAACCUAAUAAUACGACUCGCCAUGUCAUCCGGAGAAGGAAUGGAUGUCUUAUCAAAAUCAACUUCCUUAAUCGGCGAAUUAACCCGCUGGCUCGCUGAAUCUUCUGCCCCAACUACCGGUUGUUGCUCUACCACAGCUCCACUAUUCGUUCCAGGAUCCAACUCCAAAGUUCCCUCUACAUUCGAGCCCUCCUUAUCACUAGCCUUGUCCGUGUGAGGCGACCCAUCAUUUUCUUCCUCAUUUAAAGCCUCUGCUUCAUAAUUGGAGUCCGCAAUGAUAGUCUCCUCCACUUCCUCUUCCUCAUCCUCAUCAAGCGCUUGAUAUCGGUUAGCAUCCCCCGCCAGAGGGAGAUCAUUUUUCUUAACCGACACUGUAGCCGCGUCAAGAAGAUCAGGACCUGAUAGAGGUUUAAGAAUAUCAACUUUGGGCUGCCAUGCAGGAGUCGGACCCUCUCCUUUAUCAAGAUUCUUCACAACCACAGCAGGAGGCUCAGUGAUCUUUUGCUUGCUCGUGGCCCUAUCAGCUCUCCGGCAUUUAUCCGUUGAAUGACCUGUAAGCUUACAACGCGAGCAAAAAAGAGGCAUAGAUUCAAAACCAAACUCAAUGUAGAACGAUCUAUCGCCGUCAUCAAUGUACAUCGAGUUGAGAAUAGGCAAAGCCAUGUCAAUUUCCACCAAAACCCGCGCAAAGUGUCCCACAUGACCAGUUGCGGAGGCGUUAUCAAUUCGCAGAGGAUGACCAAGCACACGACCUAUACCAGCAAUAAUCACCGGAGUCCAUAACUCCACAGGGAGAUAAUAUAUCCGAACCCAGACCUGAGCCAGAGACGACACUUCCUUAUACGGAUCGAAAUACCUAGUCCAUUCACAGAAGCGUACGUGGCCGAUUGACAGUUGGAGAAAAGAAUUCCCCUUAGCUUUCUUUUUCGCUUCCAUCGUCAAAAAUUUAACAACGAAGAAUCCCUUAGCCAUGGGCACCAGUUGACAGUCGGCGCACUGCCAUAUGGUUCGAAGUUCAUGAGAGAGGUCGGCGAACGUGCGUGGCUUGUCCCCUUUACGUUGGAUAAGUCUACCGAUUAGUGCAAAUUGAAACUCUUCCAACUUUGUUUGAUAUUCCGAUUUGGGCACUGAGAGGGUGACAACCUCUCCUUCUCGCUGUAUUUGAAGGCCUCGGAGGCCAUACGCUGCAACAUCCGGCUUCUUAAGGGAUUUGGGUUGGACUUUAUCAGCUACUUUGGCAGCGAAAGAAACAGCCGGAGCAGAACCCGACACCUGCGCUACUGAAGUCGGCAGCGGCUGUAUCAAACCAGGGAUGGCCUGGUGAGGCUCACCGAUCAAACUCUGCGCCGGUGAAAAACCCGACGAGCGCUGCCCAACAGCCACUGCGCCGGAAGAAUAACCCGGCUUUACGAGAGGCUGAGAUGGAACAUUGGCAGGGGACUUAGAUCGAGACCUGUCAAAAUUAGAAGAGACCAGGGGAAGAUUGAGGCCCCCCUUGUCACGAUGGAAUUCCGGCGAACUCGAAUCCAUCACCGGCAGGAGGCGCCGGUGGAGAGUCUGGAGUCGCGGCCGGCCGGAGAAGAGCCCUCGCGGUGGGAGAGUCUGGAGUCUGGAUCGGUGAAGAGCCCUCGCCGGUGGAGAGUCUGGAGUCUGGAUCGGAGAAGAGCCCUCACGGUGAGAAGAGCCCUCUGGAUGGGCAGGCCCGUCGUGCUAUCAGCGCCGCCCACCGGAUCGAGAAUCCGAGCAGAUGAGAGACCGUCCUGGAGUCGCGGCCGAGUCUGGAUCGGCAACUGGACGCCUGGAGUCGCGGCGUGCCGUGCCUCCCCCACUCCGGAGCAGCAGCAACGGUGGUCAGGCAGCAGCAGCAGCAACGUCUUGGAGCAACGUCAGGCAGCAGCAGCAACGAUCUCAGGCAGCAGCAGCAGCGAUCUCCGGCAGCAGCAGCAACGUCUUGCAGCAACGUCAGGCAGCAGCAACGUACCUUCACCGGUGUUGGAGGCGGCAGACGUUCAGAUGCGCGGCAACCAGAGGCGGGUGGUUGGUGCCGCAGGUCGAAUGCGCAGUUGAGGCAACCAGAGUCGAGGGCGUCGCGUGUUGGCUGGUGGCCGGGAUCCGACUGCAGCGGGCGGUGGUGAUGUGCACGCCGCUCAGCGGCGCGAAACCCAAGGCGUAAGGUGGUGUGCGGCCACCCCUUGGGACCCUCCAAAUAUGUUUAAGCAUUUUUUCUCGAAUUUGACCUUUGUUUUAUUUAUGUCUUCUUCGGGUGUGAGUUUGCUUCAUUAAUUCAUAACGCAUUUCCCAACUAUGACGAGCUCUGUCCUGAUGUUGGUUUCAGAUACGAGCUUCUAAUUUAACCUGUAUCUUAGAUAAUCUAUAAAUAUUUUAAUUAUUAGUUUGGUCCCCAAAUGGAAUGCAGAAAUUUGUCCACAUUAUUGUAUUAACGAAAAUGUGAAAUGUUUUAGCAAAUGAAUGCUCAUUGAGUACAUUAGUGCAUGCUAGGAUUCAAUUCCGUGUUUUAGAUUUUCAUUGUAAAACUAGCUCUUAAUUGUCUUUCGCUUUCCCAAACUUAAGAAUAUAUGUUUGACUUUAAAUGAAAUUUUUUGUCAAGCUUAGACUCUUAAUUCAUAGUUUAUGUUGAAGAAUGUUGGGUUUCAAAGGCAUGAAACCAAACUUAUGAUCCUAAGAUUUAACCAUGUUGUUGAUUGACUUGCAUAUUUCAAUGUUUUGUGUUCUGCACUUGAAGGGUCAUUGCCCAAUCUUGAGGACACCUUGUCCUAUUAUUCAGGUUAAACAAAAAUUUUCAUGUUUAUUCUUUUGAAUCGAUCUCGCCUCGAUUCAUAGUUAGGAGUGACACUUUCGAGCAUAAUAAAUUUGAAAAUGUUUUAUUUGAAACAAAUUGAAAAAGUUGUGUAUUUGUUUAAAAUAUCUUUAAGGUGAUGUCGAAAUAGCCUACUUUAUGAAAAUCGUGAAAUAAUUAUCAAAAAAAUUUGACACGUCUCAUUUGAAUAGAAUUUUUUGGAUUUUGGAUGGCUAUACCCAUCCCGACCCUCCUUUGUGUAUGUUCCUAAGUAGGUAAUAAAAAAGAAGUCGCACUUGGGUACACGCGGGUCGGACCCAGCCAAUCCGACCAGACCAAAAACUCUACUAAAUUUGUAUAUACGAAUUAUUACUUUUAUUCAUCAAUAUUGUCAUUUUUAGAACAACUAUCACUUUUGCCAUUGCUAUUUUUGAUUAUAAGAAUUGUCACUUUUAUUUGAAACACUGUCACCUUUUUGUCAAAUAAUUGUCCUUUUUAUGACCGUUGCUAGGGCAGAGCACGGACCGAACCGGACCGAAAAAACCGACCGAACCGAUCAAUUUUGGUUCGGUUCGAUUUUUAAAAAUUUGGUUCGGUUUUCGGUUCGGUUUUAUAACGCUGAAAACCGAUGGUAUAUCGGUUCGGUUUCGGUUUACUGUUUUUGGUUCGGUUAUUAACCGAACCGAACCGAUCAUGUAUAUUAAUAUAUAUACUAAUUCUAAACAAUAAAGAGUAAACCCUAGUCUCCCAACUCCCAAGUCCCAGUCGCUCCCUCCCAUUUCAUUUCACAGCGCCGCUCCUCACUCCUCAGUCACGCAAACACAGUCUCUUCCCUCCCAACCGCACCGCCUCCAUUCUCCACAAAGCCCAGCCGUCUUCCCUCUGACCGGCAACCGCCGCCACCCCGACGUUUCUCCUCCAGGGCGAGCCACGACCCGAUUCUCGGCGACCUCCAGUGCGAGGCUGCGAGCAGACCAAACCAGAGGAGCAACGAGCGUCGCACGUGUCCUCCUCUGCGAGCAGACCCGCCGCCCGCGUCCUCCUUUGCUUGUUUUUAUUUUUAUUUAUGCUAUUUUAGUGAUUUUGUUUGUGAAUUUGGGCAGAUUUUUAAAUGUAUAGAUUUUUAUUUGGCUGAAUUUGAGAUAUUUAUGCAGAUUUUUAUUUAUGCAAAUUUUUAUUUAUGUAAAGGUUGAAUUUGGGUAGGUUUUGGGCAGAUUUUUAAUUAAGUAAAGAUUUGGCAAAUUUUUGAAAAAAAAAAACUGAAAAUGUCAGUCGGUUCGGUUACCGACCGAAACCGAUCGGUUUCGACCGGUUCGGUUUUGGUCGGUUUUUAGGGUCUAGGCGGUUCGGUUCGGUCCCAGCGCUACUGAGAUCGGUUCGGUUUCGAUUUUCUUAAAAUGGUUCGGUUCGGUUCGAUUUUGAACCGAUGCUCUGCCCUAACCGUUGCUUUUAAGCAUAUAUAGAACUAAUAUUACUUUUAUUUGGAAUAUAAUGCUAUGUUUAUUCAUAGCAAUUGUUACUUUAUCCAUAAGAAUAAUCACUUUUUUUUUUAUCAAUGAACAAUCAAAUUUAAAGGCACAUGAUGAUAGUCUCGAACCUUAGACCUUUAAUAUCAGGCUUUAAUCAAUCUAUCAGUAGAUCAUACGCACACAAGAACUAUCACUUUUAUUCAUAAGAACUACCACUUUUAUAUAACAGUUCAUGAGUAAGGGUUAUAUCUUUUUCAUAUUAUACAUAUAUAUAUUUAUAUAUUCGUGUACGCAUUUAAUUUAAUUAAUUUAAUUUAAUUUAUGUUAAAUUAUACUCCCUCCGUCCCAGCCAAGACGCUACAUUUGCUUUUCGGCACGGGAUUUAAGGAAUUGUAGAUUAAUAUUUAAGUGUGUAAUAAUAAAGUGAUAAAGUAAGAAAGAGAAGGUAAUCUAUAAUCUAUCUAUAAUCUAUAAUUAUAUAAAAGCAGAGGUUUGGGCUGCAUGGAUUUCCCGCCAAAGCACAUCACUGUUUUAUCCAUUGUACAAUUUUUGUUGCUGAUUGACUGUUGGGCCUUGCAGUUGAGCUGGUUUUGGCUCCAAAAAGUGCAGCCCAAAAUUCAAAUUUCAAUUUUUGGAGCCCAAAACCUGUCUUGAUAAGUGUAAAUUAUCUUCUAUAAAUAGUGCCUCAUUAACUGCUAAUCUUCACAGUCGAAUUCUCCAUUUUCGGAUUUGUGGUUGCGAAUUAUUUCAGCUGACAUUUACAGCUUGCAAUCUUUCUCUCUACUCUUGGUUUCUUUAUUGCUUCUUUAUGCUAUUUUAAUUUUACUGUUGCUAUUUUUCUUUUUAUUCUGUUUAGUUUUUUGCUGUUUAUUAGUAUUAGUUUCAAUUACAACUAAGAUACAAAUUUAUACAGUUUUUUCUACUUUCUGAAUUUUUGCAGCAGAUCAAAACCGUAGAAGAUUAAGACUGAAUCUUUCUUAAUCUUUCCGUUUCUUAAUCUUUCCGUGGAAGUAUAGACUGAAUCUUUCUUAAUCUUUCCGUGGAAGUAUUACCACUGAGAUCUUGAAGUAUUACCACUGAGAUCUGCAAAAGGCACAAGAAAGUUUACUCUGCAGGCUUAUGAAGUUGAAAAGGUUGUAUAAAUCAACAAGGAUGUAUAUCAGUAGCAAAAAUUGUCGAAAGAAUGAAUUUGUGUGGAUGUUCAUAGAUCUACAUGCGAAUGAAAAUAAAGAUGUUCAUAGAUCUACAAAAAUCAAAUGCGAAAAACAGACUGCAAACAAGAGCAAAGAUGUUCAUAGAUCUACUGAAUCAGAUGCCAAAAAAUAGUAUUGAAAUCAGAUCUGCGAAAAAUAUUUUUUUUGUUUAUAGAUUUUUCAAAAAAUUAGAUGCCCAAAACAGAUAGACAAAAAUCAGGCAACCGAAGAAAUAUUCUUUGUUGGAAAUAUAUCAAUUAAUUUCUUCAUAAGUUGAAAGACAAAAAGGAAGACAAAAUAUAGAAAAUGAAAGAUAAAGACUUUUGUAAAAUACUGACAAGACACGGGAGCUCCACAUUCUCUAACUUAAGUGCAAAAGGGGUGGGGAACAAAAUCAGGAGAUAAAGAAAAUUAUGCAUACCAGUCGUACUUCCAUAUGUUACAUGCAUACAAGCAAAACAUACAAAUUAUUGGAACGAAGGAUGCACAUAAAAUCGGUCAAAUAACCAGUUAAUUUCAACUUAACUUUACACAACAAGCUUCUUGGGAUACUUCAGAUCUGCGAAAAAUAUUUUUUUUGUUUAUAGAUUUUUCAAAAAAUCAGAUGCCCAAAACAGAUAGACAAAAAUGCAGAUGCCCAAAAUAUCUUACUGUAUUGAACAAGCUGUUGUUUCAAAAUUUGUGGCUAAAUGAAAAAAAAUAAUCAAUUCAGCAAGAAAAAAAAUACAUGGAGAUCGCAAGAAUUAAAGAUGCAGUCGAGGGAGGAGGCCGAGAUCUGGAAGCUAGGGCUGGGCGACGCCGUAGUUUGAAACUCGGACGGCGGCGGCUGGAUAAGGGCUGAGCAGAGGGAGGCAGCGGCUCAUUUAUCGUCGUCGAGGAGAGAGGCGACACCUCGUGGAGCGUCGUCUAGAUGUGAGGCCGGAGUUGGUAGUUUAGGGAUCUAAGGGUUUUCGGACCGCGGCUUUGCGGUUAAACGGUUGCAGGUUUUUCUCCGGCAGAGGGAGAAAGAAGACGAUAGAGAGAACGUUUGAGCUUCUCGCCGGCAGGUGGAAGAAAGUCGGCAGAGGGUGAGGCAGAGGGAGAGAGAAAACAAGGGAGAGCACGGAUGGGAGAAGAAAUGAGAGAGAAGAAGCGGCGCUGAACCCUAAUUUUAGAGGAGAUGAGUAUUUAGGCUGUAUUUUAGGGUUGAAAAGUGUGGAUGGGCUGUAUUUAUGUAAUUGGGCUGAAUUUAUUGUA